ACUCCUACGGGAGGCAGCAGUAGGGAAUCUUCCACAAUGGGCGCAAGCCUGAUGGAGCAACACCGCGUGAGUGAAGAAGGGUUCGGUCUCGUAAAGCUCUGUUGUUAAAGAAGAACACGUAUGAGAGUAACUGUUCAUACGUUGACGGUAUUUAACCAGAAGUCACGGCUAACUACGUGCCAGCAGCCGCGGUAAUACGUAGGUAGCAAGCGUUAUCCGGAUUUAUUGGGCGUAAAGAGAGUGCAGGCGGUUUUCUAAGUCUGAUGUGAAAGCCUUCGGCUUAACCGGAGAAGUGCAUCGGAAACUGGAUAACUUGAGUGCAGAAGAGGGUAGUGGAACUCCAUGUGUAGCGGUGGAAUGCGUAGAUAUAUGGAAGAACACCAGUGGCGAAGGCGGCUACCUGGUCUGCAACUGACGCUGAGACUCGAAACGCAU
rnacentral:rRNA from 1 species